rnacentral:rRNA from 1 species
UCUCCUGGGGAAACGGGUGGUAAUGCCGGAUGCUCCGACUCCUCGCAUGGGGUGUCGGGAAAGAUUUCAUCGGUAUGGGAUGGGGUCGCGUCCUAUCAGGUAGUCGGCGGGGUAACGGCCCACCGAGCCUACGACGGGUAGCCGGCCUGAGAGGGCGACCGGCCACAUUGGGACUGAGAUACGGCCCAGACUCCUACGGGAGGCAGCAGUGGGGAAUAUUGCACAAUGGGCGCAAGCCUGAUGCAGCGACGCCGCGUGCGGGAUGACGGCCUUCGGGUUGUAAACCGCUUUUGAUCGGGAGCAAGCCUUCGGGUGAGUGUACCUUUCGAAUAAGCACCGGCUAACUACGUGCCAGCAGCCGCGGUAAUACGUAGGGUGCAAGCGUUAUCCGGAAUUAUUGGGCGUAAAGGGCUCGUAGGCGGUUCGUCGCGUCCGGUGUGAAAGUCCAUCGCUUAACGGUGGAUCUGCGCCGGGUACGGGCGGGCUGGAGUGCGGUAGGGGAGACUGGAAUUCCCGGUGUAACGGUGGAAUGUGUAGAUAU